rnacentral:rRNA from 1 species
GGUAGUCCACGCCGUAAACGUUGGGCGCUAGGUGUGGGUUCCAUUCCACGGGAUCCGUGCCGCAGCUAACGCAUUAAGCGCCCCGCCUGGGGAGUACGGCCGCAAGGCUAAAACUCAAAGGAAUUGACGGGGCCCGCACAAGCGGCGGAGCAUGUGGCUUAAUUCGACGCAACGCGAAGAACCUUACCAAGGCUUGACAUACGCCGAAAACCUGCAGAGAUGUGGGGGUCCGUAAGGGCGGCGUACAGGUGGUGCAUGGUUGUCGUCAGCUCGUGUCGUGAGAUGUUGGGUCAAG